GACAGGGGGCUCGAGCGUUAAUCGGAAUCACUGGGCUUAAAGGGUGCGUAGGCGGACCAGUAAGCGUCCCGUGAAAUCCCCCGGCUCAACCGGGGAACCGCGGGGCGGAACUGCUGGUCUAGAGGAAGCUAGAGGCGGGUAGAACGAUAGGUGGAGCGGUGGAAUGCGUAGAUAUCGGGAAGAACACCCGUGGCGAAGGCGGCUCUCUGGGACGGUACUGGACGCUGAGACG
rnacentral:rRNA from 1 species